rnacentral:lncRNA from 1 species
AGAUAGAGUCAAUGUUUGUAAUGGCUCAGCCAUUCCCAGUCUCUAUUCAAGCCUAAGUUGAUUGUAUCUAGUUUGCAUAUCAAUUCCAGCUCAGCAGUCUCUCGUUGGAGUCUGUUUUUUAAGCUUUUCUGUUGCAAAAUUGCCACCCGCAGGUCUGUCACUGAAUGACCAGACAGGUUAAAGUGUUCUCCCACUGGUUUUUGAAUGUUAUGAUUCCUGAUGUCAGAUUUGUGUCCAUUAAUUCUUUUGCGUAGAGACUGUCCGGUUUGGCCAAUGUACAAUGGCCAAUGUAGACAUGGGUGUGUCCUGGAUGGAAGCUGGUGGCAUGUAGGUAAGUAUAGCAGUCAGUAGGUUUCCGGUAUAGGGUGGUAUUUAUGUGACCAUUGCUUAUUAGCACAGUAUUAGCUACAUUGAUGACAUCUUCAUCAUCUGGACCCAUGGAAAAGAAGCCCUUGAGGAAUUCCACCAUGAUUUCAAUAAUUUCCGUCCCACCAUCAACCUCAGCCUAGAUCCAUCCACACAAGCGGUCCAUUUCCUGGACACUACAGUGCUAAUAAGCGAUGGUCACAUAAAUACCACCCUAUACCGGAAACCUACUGACCGCUAUACUUACCUACAUGCCUCCAGCUUCCAUCCAGGACACGCCACACGAUCCAUUGUCUACAGCCAAGCUCUAAGAUACAACUGCAUUUGUUCCAGUCCCUCAGACAGAGACAAGCACCUACAAGAUCUCUGUCAAGCAUUCUUAAAACUACAGUACCCACCUGCUGAAGUGAAAAAACAGAUUGACAGAGCCAGACGAGUACCCAGAAGUCACCUCCUACAAGACAGGCCCAACAAAGAAAAUAACAGAACACCACUAGCUGUCCCCUUCAGCCCCCAACUAAAACCUCUCCAGUGCAUCAUCAAAGAUUUACAACCUAUCCUGAAAGAUGAUCCCUCACUCUCACAGAUCUUGGGAGGCAGACCUGUCCUCGUUUACAGACAACCCCCCAACCUGAAGCAAAUACUCACCAGCAACCACACAUCACUGAACAAAACCACUAACCCAAGAACCUAUCCUUGUAACAAACCUCGAUGCCAACUCUGUCCACAUAUCUAUUCAAGUAACAUCAUUGUAGGACCUAAUCACAUCAGCCAUGCCAUCAGGGGCUCGUUCACCUGCGCAUCUACCAAUGUGAUAUAUGCCAUCAUGUGCCAGCAAUGCCCCUCUGCCAUGCACAUUGGCCAAACCGGACAGUCUCUACGCAAAAGAAUUAAUGGACACAAAUCUGACAUCAGGAAUCAUAACAUUCAAAAACCAGUGGGAGAACACUUUAACCUGUCUGGUCAUUCAGUGACAGACCUGCGGGUGGCUAUCUUACAACAGAGAAACUUCAAAAACAGACUCCAACGAGAAACUGCUGAGCUGGAAUUGAUAUGCAAACUAGAUACAAUCAACU